GGUUCUGUAGUGUAGUGGUUAGCACACGGGAUUUUGAUGGAACCUUCCAAAUCUUUCCCGUAUCCUGGGUUCAAGCCCCAGCAGGACCU